rfam:Mouse cytomegalovirus 1 complete genomic sequence.
CCCCGGCUUGAACGUGUCCCCUAUCGGUGGUAGUUUACUGCGUGUGCACGAUGGGGGCCUCGGUCAAGCGGGGG